rnacentral:sRNA from 1 species
UUUUAACAAUUUUAUUGUACUUGUUCCUAAUCAAAUUAAUGAACAUUAAUUGAAGAUCGCUAGGCCACUAGAAUAUAUGAGAGUUAAGCUCUGUAUUUUAAAUCUGGUGGGUUUUUUUUCUCUUAUAUAUUAGGAACAUCACAAAAGAUCAAUUCCAAGGGACACCUGGAACCUCCUGCUGGACUUUGGAAACAUGAUUGCGGAUGAUAUGUCUAACUACGAUGAAGAAGGAGCUUGGCCUGUUCUUAUAGAUGAUUUUGUAGAAUAUGCACGGCCAGUAGUCACAGGUGGAAAACGCAGCCUUUUCUAGGCAGCAAGUUAAGCAGGAGUAAGAUUAUGAAAUGAUUUGUAUCCUGCAAGGAGAUUUCAGUCAGUUCCUGGGUGCACUGUCACUGAUUCCAGAAGUCAUUCUUGACCAGCCAUGAAACCAGAGGAGCCGUCCCAUUCUGCCAGAGGACAGCAGCGGCUGCUUUGUGGACACCGCAGGAAGUUCCUCAGGACACGGCUGCUUUGGGAUGUUUGGAGAUUUAUCAUCAUAGCU